rnacentral:lncRNA from 1 species
CGCGCGGCCGCCGCCGAGUGGGGAGAGGGGGAGGGGGAGGGGGAGGAGGACGGGGAGUGGGAAUCAGAGGCAGAGGCAGAGGCAGAGGCAGAGGCAGAGGCAGAGGCAGAGGCAGAGGAGGAGCCGCGAGGAGGAGGGGAGGAAGCCGUUGCCGCGGCGACGCGCGGCUCGGGCGGGCGCUGUGCGGUGGCAGUGACGCACGGCUCUGCGCGCGCCCUGGAGACGCGUGAACGCGCGAGCGUCCUCCGGCCGGCCCCUUCCUCGUCGUCCUCGUCGUCCUCGUCGUCCUCGCAAAUGCGGACUCAGAGCAAAGCAGCUCCCUUUGGCACGGGGAGGAGCGCCGCUAACUCGACCACGCUCGCUCCCGUGAGGCGGCUCGCUUGCCGGCGAUCUCCGACGGACGGCUCGCUAGGAGAAAUGAGAAAAUGGAACCGAGGGAGCUUGUGAAAGAGGAGAUCCUUGAGACAAAGCGCAGUGCCAGCCAGAAGCUCAGCCUCGGAUACCUGGCCGUCAGACAGAACAUGGGCAUGAAGACGAGAGCAGAGACAGACCCUACAUUGCACCAAGGCCACGUCAGCUAUGCAGGAGACAGUGGACCUGCAAAUGCAACAAGAAACAGGAAGCUCUUCUUUAACGUCCGUUGUUGCCUUCGUCCUCCCAGCGGCUUCUCCUGCAAGAAGAUGUGGAUGAAGAUCAAGUGAGCACCAGGCUGCCGCCAUAUGUGCAGGAACACCUGCAGAAUAAAAAGUCCUGUUCACCAGAGAUGUACCGCUCCUCUUUGCACCCCUGGAAGCAGGCUGGAGGGGAUUGGGCUCUGGGUGUUGCACCCCACCUGAGGGAGAAUGUACGCACUUUCAGAGGGCAGCCCCCAGCCAAGCAGCACCACCCUGGGAAGCCUCAGCUUCAGCCAAGAGCUGGGGGACAAACAGGGGCUCAAGUGCUGAGCAGAGCCCAGGGAACAGAGAACUGGCUUGGGAGCACUGGGGGGUUCCACCACCUGCCAGGAAGCACCCACACUGCGCUUACCAGAACAGAGAGCUUCACGCUGUUGGGCAGCUUCUGGCAUUUCUUGCUCACAACCUCCAGCAGAAGCCAGCUGCAUCACUGCACCUUCCCUGCCGGUGGAGGAGGGCAGGCAAGGUGCAGCUGCCCCCAGGAUGCCGUGUCCCCAGGCACCCCCUACCCCCACGGGAGCAGGGAGGUGCCCCACAGCAGGAAGCAGCACCAGGACCCCAAGUCCUGUUAGGAAGGAAGUGCUGCUGCACCAACAGCCCUGCACCACUGCUCCCCAUACCUCUC